GAUGAAGAACGUAGCGAAAUGCGAUAAGUAAUGUGAAUUGCAGAAUUCAGUGAAUCAUCGAAUCUUUGAACGCACAUUGCGCCCCCUGGUAUUCCGGGGGGCAUGCCUGUUCGAGCGUCAUUACAACCCUCAAGCUCUGCUUGGUAUUGGGCCCCGCCAGUUCUGGCGGGCCCUAAAGUCAGUGGCGGUGCCUUCCGGCUCCGAGCGUAGUAAUUUUUCUCGCUCUGGAGACCCGGUUGUGUGCUUGCCAACAACCCCCAAUUUUUUAAGGUUGACCUCGGAUCAGGUAGGGAUACCCGCUGAACUUAAGCAUAUCAAUAAGCGGAGGA
rnacentral:misc_RNA from 1 species